UUCCAAUGAAGACUUUGGUGAUGGGAUCACGUCAGCAAUAGAUUUCUACUGCUCAGUUGACAAAGUCAAGGGAGUAGAUGGGAAAGAUCGUGUGGUCCUGACAUUUGAUGGAAAAUUUUUGCCAUAUUCGGAGCAGAAAUCAGAGCACAUGGUUUCAAGACAAAGGCCACACAGAAAUUAAUGAGUGCCGCGAUGCGUCAACCGAUACCAAAAUUGUCCGUCUUUCCGCACAGUCAUUCCUCUCUGCCUGUGUUUCGUAUUACUGCAUGAUGUUUUUGUUAGCUGUUGUCUUGUUUGUGCGGCUUAUGUGUGUUAAAGCCAGAAUAAAAGGUAAGUCCUAAAAUAUUUUUGGGUGUCUCUAGCUUGACCCAAAACAAAAUAAUGUACAAGUUUUUAGACUAGCCAAUCUUGGCCGUGUAUGGCUUUUGGGAUUAAUGGCGUUUGUAUCUUCUUAAGUCUUUUAACAGUAAAUAAGCUUUUAUUGAAGUCAAGGAAACUUAAAAAUGUUCAUCCUUAUUCCGUCCAACAUUGUAAAGUAUCUGAAGUUUGGUGUUGAA